GUGUGUGUGUGUGUGUGUGUGUGUGUGUGUAUCCCCUACAGAGAAAUGGAAAAGAAAAAAAUUGUCUUGGAACAAGAAGUCAAAACGCUAAAUGACUCCCUAAAGAAAGUUGAAAACAAGGUUAGUGCUAUAGUGGAAGAGAAGGAAAAUGUAAUAAAGGAAGUUGAAGGCAAACGAGCCUUACUUGAAAUCAAAGAACGAGAACAUAACCAAUUGGUCAAGCUAUUGGAAUUAGCCAGAGAGAAUGAAGCAACUUCAUUAACUGAAAGAGGGAUCUUGGAUCUCAAUUUACGCAACAGUCUCAUUGACAAGCAGAACUACCAUGAUGAACUUUCUCGUAAGCAAAGAGAGAAAGAACGAGAUUUUCGAAAUUUAAGAAAGAUGGAACUGCUCUUGAAAGUGUCCUGGGAUGCACUUAGGCAAACUCAAGCACUGCAUCAAAGGCUUCUAUUAGAGAAAAUUAUAUCAGAAAUGGAGUCUAAGUUAGUAGAACAACAACUUGCAGAAGAAAACAAGCUUUUAAAGGAGCAAGAAAACAUGAAAGAGCUAGUAGUCAACCUUCUCCGCAUGACUCAAAUCAAAAUUGAUGAAAAGGAACAAAAGUCCAAGGAUUUCCUGAAAGCUCAGCAAAAAUACACCAACAUUGUUAAAGAAAUGAAAGCAAAGGAUCUUGAAAUCAGGAUACACAAGAAGAAAAAAUGUGAAAUUUAUCGGAGACUGAGAGAGUUUGCUAAACUGUAUGACACCAUUCGAAAUGAAAGAAACAAAUUUGUUAACUUACUCCACAGAGCUCAUCAGAAAGUAAAUGAAAUAAAAGAAAGGCAUAAAAUGUCAUUAAAUGAACUUGAAAUUCUGAGAAAUAGUGCCGUUAGUCAAGAAAGAAAGCUACAAAAUUCCAUGCUGAAACACGCCAACAAUGUUACCAUCAGAGAGAGCAUGCAAAACGAUGUGCGCAAAAUUGUAUCAAAACUUCAGGAAAUGAAAGAAAAGAAGGAAGCCCAGUUAAAUAACAUUGACAGACUUGCCAACACAAUCACAAUGAUCGAAGAGGAGAUGGUGCAGCUUCGCAAAAGAUACGAAAAAGCUGUUCAGCAUCGAAAUGAAAGUGGCGUUCAGCUGAUAGAGCGGGAAGAAGAAAUAUGCAUUUUUUAUGAAAAAAUAAAUAUCCAAGAGAAGAUGAAACUAAAUGGAGAAAUUGAAAUACAUCUACUGGAAGAAAAGAUCCAAUUCCUGAAAAUGAAGAUUGCUGAGAAGCAAAGACAAAUUCGUGUGACCCAGAAAUUACUGCCAGCCAAGAGGUCCCUGGAUGCUGACCUAGCUGUGCUCCAAAUUCAGUUUUCACAGUGUACAGACAGAAUUAAAGACCUGGAGAAACAGUUCGUAAAGCCUGAUGGUGAGAAUAGAGCUCGCUUCCUUCCAGGGAAAGAUCUGACCGAAAAAGAAAUGAUCCAAAAAUUAGACAAGCUGGAACUACAACUGGCCAAGAAGGAGGAGAAGCUGCUGGAGAAGGAUUUCAUCUAUGAACAGGUCUCCAGGCUCACGGACAGGCUCUGCAGCAAAACUCAGGACUGCAAGCAGGACACACUGCUCUUAGCCAAGAAGAUGAAUGGCUAUCAAAGAAGGAUCAAAAAUGCAACUGAGAAAAUGAUGGCUCUUGUUGCUGAGCUGUCCAUGAAACAAGCCCUAACCAUUGAACUCCAAAAGGAAGUCAGGGAGAAAGAAGACUUCAUCUUCACUUGCAAUUCCAGGAUAGAAAAAGGUCUGCCACUCAAUAAGGAAAUUGAGAAAGAAUGGUUGAAAGUCCUUCGAGAUGAAGAAAUGCAUGCCUUGGCCAUCGCUGAAAAGUCUCAGGAGUUCUUGGAAGCAGAUAAUCGCCAGCUGCCCAAUGGUGUUUACACAACUGCAGAGCAGCGUCCGAAUGCCUACAUCCCAGAAGCAGAUGCCACUCUUCCUUUGCCAAAACCUUAUGGUGCUUUGGCUCCUUUUAAACCCAGUGAACCUGGAGCCAAUAUGAGGCACAUAAGGAAACCUGUUAUAAAGCCAGUUGAAAUCUGAAUAUGUGAACAAAUCCAGGCCUCUCAAGGAAAGGACUUCAACCAGGCUUCCUUGUACCCACAGGUGAAAAAUGUGAGCAUAAUACUUCUAAUAUUAUUGAUAAGUAAGGUAACCACAAUUAGUCAGCAACAGAGUACAACAGGGUUUCUAUUUACCCACCAACUACUAUACCUUUCAUGACGUUGAAUGGGACAUAGAACUGUCCUACAUUUAUGUCAAAGUAUAUAUUUGAAUUGCUUAUAUUUUCUUUUUCACUCUUUAUAUUGAGUACAUUCCAGAAAUUUGUAGUAGGCAAGGUGCUAUAAAAAUGCACUAAAAAUAAAUCUGUUCUCAAUGAAGUACGGAAAUGG
rnacentral:sRNA from 1 species